GCUCGCCUGGAGUCAAUGGUUGGAUACCCGAAGCCGGUCGAUCUAUGCCUGGGCAGGGUGAAGCCUUUCGGAAGAAGGGUGGAGGCCCGAACCAGUACUGAUGUGCAAAUCGUUUGGAUGACCUGGGUAUAGGGGCGAAAGACCAAUCUAGACCGGUAAUAGCUGGUUCCUCUCGAAACUGCUCGCAGGCAGACCUCAGCUGAGACGGGGCAUGCGGUAGAGCACUGAUUGCGUGUUUAGGAAGCGAAAGUUUUCGGCAUGCUGUCAAACUCCGAAUGUGUGUCCGUUGUAGAAGCUGGGCAGUGAGGGCAUCGGGGUAAGCUUGAUGUCCAUAAGGAAAACAAACCAGACCAAAGUUAAGGUCCCCAAGUAACAGCUAAGUGUUAAAGAACAAAUAGUGUUUGAAGGCAUAGACAGCUGGAAGGUUGGCUUAGAGGCAGCCAUCCUUUAAAGAGUUCGUAACAGAUCACCAGUCAAGUCUUUGAGCCUAGAAAAUGGACGGGACUAAGUUGUUCACCGAUACUUUGGGCCACCGAAAGGUGAUGCGGUAGAGAGGCGUCGUGCGCGGGUGGAAGUGGGGCCGUGAGGUCCUGUGGACCGCGUUCGAAUGAUAAUCAUGGAAAUAGUAGUAGCGUAGAUGGGUGAGAAUCCCAUCCGCCGGAGGGGCUAGGGUUCCUCGACGAUGUUCAUCAGUCGAGGGUUAGUCGGUCCUAAGGUUCCCCCUAACAGGAGGAAUCGAAAGGGAAGCAGGUUAAAAUUCCUGCACCAAUUCAUAUUUUGUCCAGUUCCUGACACAUCGGGUCUUGUGGAGCACUCCUGUCUGAGUGUUGCCUUAAGCAAUAAAAUUGUGGAGUACCGUAAUGGUGAGAAGCAAACUAAGCUUUUGGGAGGCGAAGUAUUUCGCUUCUGCGUUAGCCUGGUGUCCGUGAAAAGGGAGCUGGAGUCGUGUGAGUUGUCCGUACCGAGAUCUGACACAGGUGCCCCUAGGUGAGUAGCCUAAGGCGUCGCGGCAGAAUCCGGGCGAGGGAAUUCGGCAAAUUAGCCCCGUACCUUUGGUAUAAGGGGUGCCAGCUCUGAAGAGAGCUGGUCGCAGUGACUAGGGAGCUCCGACUGUUUACUAAAAACACAGGUGGCUGCUAGUCCGUAAGGAUGAGUAUAGCCGCUGAAUCCUGCCCAGUGGUGGUAUCUGAAACCCAGUUUCAACUGGACGAAGGACCACUAAACGGCGGGGGUAACUAUGACCCUCUUAAGGUAGCGUAAUACCUUGUCGCUUAAUUGGCGACUUGCACGAACGGCCUAACGAGAGCUCUACUGUCCCCGCCCGGAGCCCGAUGAAAUUGACUUACUGGCGCACAGUCCAGUACGUCCCAGCCGCAAGCGAAGACCCCGUGGAGCUUUACUGCAACCUGCCGUUGUGGCACGAGUUGUUAUGUGUAGAGUAGACGGGAGACAUUACACAGGUGCGAGCGCUAGCUCGUCGCCGAGUCACCGAUGAAACACCGUCCUUUUCGAUUCGUCCCACUCACCUCUUCGGAGGAACCCCGGUAGGCGGGCAGUUUGGGUGGGGCGCCACUCCCUCGAAAAAAUAACAAGGGAGCCCAAAGGUCAGCUUAGGUAGGUCAGGAAUCUACCGUUAAGUGCAAGGGCAAAAGCUGGCUUGACGUGGUUUGGCAACACAACAAACCACGAUGCGAAAGCAGGGCCUAGCGAACCAACCAGCGCCGUUAGUAGGUGCGGUUGAUAACAGAAAAGUUACCCCGGGGAUAACUGAGUUGUCUGGAGCAAGAGCCCACAUCGACCUCCAGGCUUGCUACUUCGAUGUCGUCUCUUCCUAUCCUGGGUGUGCAGAAGCACCCAAGGGUGGGGUUGUUCGCCCAUUAAAAGGGAUCGUGAGAUGGGUUUAGACCGUCGUGAGACAGGUUUGUUGCU
rnacentral:rRNA from 1 species